UGAGGCUCCCUCCUGCUGGUUUCCCUUUCUUGUGGAGGUGGAGGCCUCAGCAGGAGCUUGGCGAUGCUUAUGUUUGAGGGGAGGAGCUGUCAUUCCUGGGCUUUGGAUGGUCGCCCUCGGAACAAAACAGAUUCCCUCCCUCUGUUUGAUCAGCUGGAACAAAUCCCCACCCCUCCAACCCACCUGGAAAUAUCAGCUGCCUCUGUUGCCAAACACUGAAGACAAGAAGAGCACCACUUGUUCUAAAAUAAAAGGGCAGGCAACAUGGUCUAAAGUGAGCCAAACCUGGGGGUUGUGGAAAUUUGACAGAGGAUUUCGGGCUCUUCUCUGAAGUGGUGACAGGCCAGGAGGAGAUGCAGUGUCAGAGGCUGCUGCUGCUGCAGAGAUUGAAAUAGAAACAGAAUCUCAUUUCCAUCUUCCAUUCUUUCUUAAGCGCCUCCAGAGUCCCUCUGAGGCUGCCAAGACGCCAAGUGUGAUUUCUCCAUCUUCAGUCCCCCAUCACUAAGGCGUAGGAGACUUCUCUUCCUGCCAGGGAGAAGGUGGGCGGGCUGCAGACAUGAAAUAGGGACUAGAAAAAAAAAGGAAGAAAAUGCCAGUUUCAGCCUCUCGACAUGCUGCUUGUCUUUCAUCCCUGUCCCUGCAUGCAGUUACAUACAUGGAGGCGUGGGAGAUGUGAUGGAGCCAUCCAAACCAAAGCCCCAGGCCACCAUCCAUAACAAAGCAAUGAACACCAAGCAAAAGCAUGAGAAAGAUUCACAUGAUGAAAUGAUAUGAUUACAUAAUGUAGACAAUCGUCUGUUCAUGAAUAGAUUGACUUAUCAAAGGCUGGAGGGGUAGCCAGGGGUUUCAAAGGCCCCUUUAUAAAUCAAAUUUUUCCUGUAAUUGGUACCCACGCUGUGUAGUUGGAUAGUGAUAUGUAGUUGGCUUAUUUGUUACAUGGAUUGAUUACUGAACAGGGUUACAGGGUACAGACUAGUAGCACCUGGACCAGUAGCUUUUUAUAAUGUGUCUAUAAAGAAAACACAACUGAAAGGCACAAAACACCUGCAAAGAGACUCAAAAGGGCCCCAAAGACAAAAAAAACAACCACAAACAAAAGAAAGAGGAUCCCAAAAAGUCCACAACACAACUGUGAAGAGAUGCAAAACUACCUCAUGAAGCCCAAGAAGAAAAGAGACAACCAGAAAAGAGGCCAAAUAAU